rnacentral:rRNA from 1 species
AGAGUUUGAUCAUGGCUCAGAUUGAACGCUGGCGGUAGGCUUAACACAUGCAAGUCGUGCGAGAAAGUAUCUUCGGAUAUGAGUAGAGCGGCGGACGGGUGAGUAACGCGUAGGAAUCUACCUAGUAGAAGGGGAUAGCCCGAGGAAACUCGGAUUAAUACCGUAUACCUCCUUAGGGAGAAAGAGGGCCUCUCUUGAUGCUUUCGCUAUUAGAUGAGCCUGCGUAAGAUUAGCUUGUUGGUGAGGUAAUGGCUCACCAAGGCUACGAUCUUUAGCUGGUCUGAGAGGACGAUCAGCCACAUUGGGACUGAGACACGGCCCAGACUCCUACGGGAGGCAGCAGUGGGGAAUAUUGGACAAUGGGCGCAAGCCUGAUCCAGCCAUACCGCGUGUGUGAAGAAGGCCUUCGGGUUGUAAAGCACUUUAAGCAGGGAGAAAAAGUUAUAAGUUAAUACCUUAUAACCGUGAUGUUACCUGCAGAAUAAGCACCGGCUAAUUCCGUGCCAGCAGCCGCGGUAAUACGGAAGGUGCAAGCGUUAAUCGGAAUUACUGGGCGUAAAGCGCGCGUAGGUGGUUUGUUAAGUUGGAUGUGAAAGCCCUGGGCUCAACCUAGGAACUGCAUCCAAAACUAACUCACUAGAGUACGAUAGAGGGAGGUAGAAUUCAUAGUGUAGCGGUGGAAUGCGUAGAUAUUAUGAAGAAUACCGGUGGCGAANGCGGNCUCCUGGAUCUGUACUGACACUGANGUGCGAAAGCGUGGGUAGCGAACAGGAUUAGAUACCCUGGUAGUCCACGCCGUAAACGA